UGGGGAAUUUUGCACAAUGGGCGCAAGCCUGAUGCAGCGACGCCGCGUGAGGGAUGAAGGCCUUCGGGUUGUAAACCUUUUUCGCUCAUGGUCAAGCCGCAGCUUUGGGUUGUGGUGAGGGUAGUGGGUAAAGAAGCGCCGACUAACUACGUGCCAGCAGCCGCGGUAAUACGUAGGGCGCGAGCGUUGUCCGGAAUUAUUGGGCGUAAAGGGCUUGUAGGCGGUUGGCCGCGUCUGCCGUGAAAUCCUCUGGCUUAACUGGGGGCGUGCGGUGGGUACGGGUUGACUUGAGUGCGGUGGGGGAGACUGGGAUUCCUGGUGUAGCGGGGGAAUGCGCAGAUAUCAGGGGGAACACCGGUGGCGAAGGCGGGUCUCUGGGCCGUUACUGACGCUGGGGAGCGAAAGCGUGGGGAGCGAACAGG
rnacentral:rRNA from 1 species